rnacentral:rRNA from 1 species
UGGGGAAUAUUGCACAAUGGGCGAAAGCCUGAUGCAGCAACGCCGCGUGAGCGAAGAAGGCCUUUGGGUCGUAAAGCUCUGUCCGAGGGGAAGAUAAUGACGGUACCCUUGGAGGAAGCCCCGGCUAACUACGUGCCAGCAGCCGCGGUAAUACGUAGGGGGCGAGCGUUAUCCGGAAUUAUUGGGCGUAAAGAGUGCGUAGGUGGUUCUUUAAGCGUGAGGUGAAAGGCAAUGGCUUAACUAUUGUAAGCCUUGCGAACUGGAGAACUUGAGUGCAGGAGAGGUAAGUGGAAUUCCUAGUGUAGCGGUGAAAUGCGUAGAUAUUAGGAGGAACACCAGUGGCGAAGGCGACUUACUGGACUGUAACUGACACUGAGGCACGAAAGCGUGGGGAGCAAACA